rnacentral:rRNA from 1 species
AACGAACGCUGGCGGCAUGCCUAACACAUGCAAGUCGAACGAGACCUUCGGGUCUAGUGGCGCACGGGUGCGUAACGCGUGGGAACCUGCCCUUAGGUUCGGAAUAACUCCCCGAAAGGGGUGCUAAUACCGGAUAAUUUCUUCGGACCAAAGAUUUAUCGCCUUUGGAUGGGCCCGCGUUGGAUUAGCUAGUUGGUAGGGUAAAAGCCUACCAAGGCGACGAUCCAUAGCUGGUCUGAGAGGAUGAUCAGCCACACUGGGGCUGGGACACGGCCCAGACUCCUACGGGAGGCAGCAGUGGGGAAUAUUGGACAAUGGGCGAAAGCAUGAUCCAGCAAGGCCGCGUGAGUGAUGAAGGCCUUAGGGUUGUAAAGCUCUUUUACCCGGGAUGAUAAUGACAGUACCGGAAGAAUAAGCACCGGCUAACUCCGUG